GACGAACCGUGCGAACGUUGUUCGGAAUCACUGGGCUUAAAGGGCGCGUAGGCGGCCGGGUUGGUCGUGGGUGAAAUCCCCCAGCUUAACUGGGGAAUUGCCUACGAUACUGCCUGGCUCGAGGGAGGAAGGGGCGGCCGGAACUGUCGGUGGAGCGGUGAAAUGCGUAGAUAUCGCUUGGAACGCCGAAGGUGAAAACAGGUCGCUGGGGAUGUGCCGACGCUGGAGACACGAAAGCCAGGGGAGCAAACGGGG
rnacentral:rRNA from 1 species